UUCAAAUGAAUACAUAUACCAGUCCACUCAUCCUUAAAUGUUUGGUUUUUUGUAAGUUUUAUUUUAUAAAGCCAUUUUACUUAAUCAACCGGAGCACCAACCUUGCUAACUGCGGUUACUGACUAACAGGUAGCUGAAUGAUAACAGCAGAGGUGACGGCUUCGAGUCAGUUGUGGUGAAAUUUUGUUUCCGAUCUGGAUUUAAUAGUUAUUCUGUCUGGAUCUGGACCGGAGUCCGCCUAUUGAGGCUGUUGCAGCUGCAGAGCCUUAUCCCAGGGUGUGUGCUUCGCUCACCAGGCUGGUGUGAGUGGGAAGGUGCUGUCAUCACUGAAGACAAGGAGUAGGAAUUUUCCAGAAGUGUUUCUGCAGAUCUGUGGAAUGCUGACAGGACAGAGCAUGUCGGUGGUUCUCACGCUCUCUGCAGAAUAUGUCCUGUGCGAACUAGCUGAGGGAAAGACAACUUGACUAAAGUUCACUUUCCACCGAGUGAACACGUUGUAUAUUAGUUCCAUAUUAUUAAACA